GACGAACGCUGGCGGCGUGCCUAACACAUGCAAGUUGAGCGACGAACCAGGGCUUGCCCUGGGGCAAAGCAGCGAACGGGUGAGUAACACGUGGGUAACCUACCCCGAUAACCGGGACAACCCGAGGAAACUCGGGCUAAUACCGGAUGUGCUCACUGGACUUCGGUUCAGUGCGUAAAGGAAGCUUCGGCCUCCGUAUCGGGAGGGGCCCGCGGCCCAUUAGUUUGUUGGUGAGGUAACGGCUCACCAAGACCGCGAUGGGUAGCUGGUCUGAGAGGACGAUCAGCCACACUGGGACUGAGACACGGCCCAGACUCCUACGGGAGGCAGCAGUGGGGAAUCUUGCGCAAUGCGCGAAAGCGUGACGCAGCAACGCCGCGUGGGGGAAGAAGGCCUUCGGGUUGUAAAGCCCUUUCAGGAGGGACGAAGGUUCGGCGGUGAAUAGCCGUCCGGACUGACGGUACCUCCACAAGAAGCCCCGGCUAACUACGUG
rnacentral:rRNA from 1 species